GCAGGAGGGGGGAGUAUAUAGAGGAACACAGGGGUCUGUACAAGGACGUGAUGAUGGAGAAUCACCGGCCCCUCACAUCACUGGAUGGGCCCAGUAACAGAGAUACCCCAGAGAGAUGUCCCCGUCCUCUGUAUUCCCAGUAUUGUACAGAGGAGAAUCACAGGACCCCACAGGAGGAUCAGGUAGAAGAUCUGUCAGAUAUAAAGGCAGAAGAUAUAGAGGGAGAAGAAGAGGCGUAUGUGACUGAUAUAAAGGCAGAAGAUACAGAGGGAGGA